rnacentral:rRNA from 1 species
AUUGAACGCUGGCGGCAUGCCUUACACAUGCAAGUCGAACGGUAACAGGGAGCUUGCUCCGCUGACGAGUGGCGAACGGGUGAGUAAUGUAUCGGAACGUACCUUUUAGUGGGGGAUAACGUAGCGAAAGUUACGCUAAUACCGCAUAUUCUCUGAGGAGGAAAGCAGGGGACCUUCGGGCCUUGCGCUAAUAGAGCGGCUGAUAUCAGAUUAGCUAGUUGGUGAGGUAAAGGCUCACCAAGGCGACGAUCUGUAGCGGGUCUGAGAGGAUGAGCCGCCACACUGGAACUGAGACACGGUCCAGACUCCUACGGGAGGCAGCAGUGGGGAAUUUUGGACAAUGGGGGCAACCCUGAUCCAGCCAUGCCGCGCGAGUGAAGAAGGCCUUCGGGUUGUAAAGCUCUUUCGGCCGGGAAAAAAUCGCAUGGGUUAAUACCCUGUGUGGAUGAUGGUACCGGAAUAAGAAGCACCGGCUAACUACGUGCCAGCAGCCGCGGUAA